GUAGUUGGAUCGAUGUUCUGUGAUCGGGUCUACGUUAAAAUCAAACAAUAACGUUUUCAGGAAUAAGACACAUUUGGGAAGUUCUGUGUUUUCCUUCAGUUUCUCAUUCAGUGCAGCAUUAUCUCACUUUAAGGACAUGACCUCAUGUUUGUGGGUGUGUUUGGGCUGAAUAUGGAAAUGUUCCAGUUUGAGUCGUUCCCCUAAUAACCUGUAGAUGGAGGUCUAUGCAAACUCUUUGCUUUAUAUAAGAAAACACCAGCAGCCGUCGUCAUCUGUUCAGGACUCUACGUCCCUCAAACACUGAACUGGUUCAGAACAACAGUAUCUGAUAAACUCAACAUGAUGUUUUUCUGGACUUUAUUUUUUAUUGUGUCAGUUCAAGGAGUUUGGGCUGAGAUCAGACUGGAACAGUCUUCUCCUGAGGUGAAACGACCUGGAGAAACAGUGAAGAUGUCGUGUGUCAUAUCUGGUUACAGCAUGACAAGCUACUACAUUCACUGGAUACGGCAGCGACCAGGAGAAGCUCUGGUGUGGGUCGGGAGGAUGGAUACAGGAACCAAUGAUGCCAUCUAUGGCAGCUCCUUCCAAGGCCGAUUCCUCAUGACAGAAAACGUUCCCAGCAGCACUCAGUACCUGGAGAUCAAGAGUCUCACAGCAGAGGAUGCUGCUGUUUACUACUGUGCUCGAAGCCACAGUGACUGAGGGCAGUGGAGCAGCUGCACAAAAACUACACACAAAAUAUUCCCAGUGAACGUAAAGUCUAAAAACCAACCUCCCAUCACUCACUACCAACACUCAGCACCACAGAUAUGAGUGGUUUGUUGUCAUUGAUGUUCCACGUCAUUUAUGCUAAGAAGGUUCUUGAUUAUUUUAUUAGACAACUUGACAAGUAUUUUUCAUGGAGAAUCAAAGAAUCAUCUGACAAAUCCAGACAUAAUGUUUGUUGAGAAAAAGGACUCUCACAAAAGUGACAUCAAUCAUUUUUCCAUGUCUUUAUACAAACCAUAAACAAAUCAGCACGUGAAAGACUUGAACUGCAAUUUUCACAGAACUGUAAUCUGAAAUCUGAAUCUGCACAUAUCUCUGUCUAGGUGUAUUUUCAUUAACUGAAAGCUUAAGUGAAAGCUG